rnacentral:rRNA from 1 species
AGUGAACGCUGGCGGUAGGCCUAACACAUGCAAGUCGAACGGCAGCACAGUAAGAGCUUGCUCUUACGGGUGGCGAGUGGCGGACGGGUGAGGAAUACAUCGGAAUCUACUUUUUCGUGGGGGAUAACGUAGGGAAACUUACGCUAAUAUCUCAUACGACCUACGGGUGAAAGCAGGGGAUCUUCGGACCUUGCGCGAUUGAAUGAGCCGAUGUCGGAUUAGCUAGUUGGCGGGGUAAAGGCCCACCAAGGCGACGAUCCGUAGCUGGUCUGAGAGGAUGAUCAGCCACACUGGAACUGAGACACGGUCCAGACUCCUACGGGAGGCAGCAGUGGGGAAUAUUGGACAAUGGGCGCAAGCCUGAUCCAGCCAUACCGCGUGGGUGAAGAAGGCCUUCGGGCUGUAAAGCCCUUUUGUUGGGAAAGAAAAGCAGCAGGUUAAUACCCCGCUGUUCUGACGGUACCCAAAGAAUAAGCACCGGCUAACUUCGUG